rnacentral:rRNA from 1 species
AACUAGGCAAAAUGGUACCGUAACUUCGGGAGAAGGUACGCUGUUGUUGGUGAUGGAACUCGCUUCCUGAGCUGACGACAGCCGCAGAAACCAGGCCGCUGCAACUGUUUAUUAAAAACAUAGCACUCUGCAAACACGAAAGUGGACGUAUAGGGUGUGAUGCCUGCCCGGUGCUGGAAGGUUAAUUGAUGGGGUUAGCGUAAGCGAAGCUCUUGAUCGAAGCCCCAGUAAACGGCGGCCGUAACUAUAACGGUCCUAAGGUAGCGAAAUUCCUUGUCGGGUAAGUUCCGACCUGCACGAAUGGCAUAAUGAUGGCGGCGCUGUCUCCAGCAGAGGCUCAGUGAAAUCGAAAUCGCUGUGAAGAUGCAGUGUACCCGCGGCUAGACGGAAAGACCCCGUGAACCUUUACUGCAGCUUGACACUGAACUUUGACCUUACUUGUGUAGGAUAGGUGGGAGGCUUUGAAGCUGGAACGCUAGUUCCAGUGGAGCCGUCCUUGAAAUACCACCCUGGUAAUGUUGAGGUUCUAACUCUGUCCCGUGAUCCGGGACGAGGACCGUGUCUGGUGGGUAGUUUGACUGGGGCGGUCUCCUCCUAAAGAGUAACGGAGGAGUACGAAGGUGCGCUCAGCGUGGUCGGAAAUCACGCGUAGAGUAUAAAGGCAAAAGCGCGCUUAACUGCGAGACCCACAAGUCGAGCAGGUACGAAAGUAGGUCUUAGUGAUCCGGUGGUUCUGUAUGGAAGGGCCAUCGCUCAACGGAUAAAAGGUACUCUGGGGAUAACAGGCUGAUACCGCCCAAGAGUUCAUAUCGACGGCGGUGUUUGGCACCUCGAUGUCGGCUCAUCUCAUCCUGGGGCUGAAGCAGGUCCCAAGGGUAUGGCUGUUCGCCAUUUAAAGAGGUACGCGAGCUGGGUUUAGAACGUCGUGAGACAGUUCGGUCCCUAUCUACCGUGGGCGCUGGAAAUUUGAGAGGAUCUGCUCCUAGUACGAGAGGACCAGAGUGGACGAACCUCUGGUGUACCGGUUGUGACGCCAGUCGCAUCGCCGGGUAGCUAUGUUCGGAAGGGAUAACCGCUGAAAGCAUCUAAGCGGGAAGCCUACCUCAAGAUAAGAUUUCCCUAGGACUUUAUGUCCUCUAAAGAGCCGUUCGAGACUAGGACGUUGAUAGGUUGGAUGUGGAAGCAUAGUGAUAUGUGAAGCUGACCAAUACUAAUUGCUCGUGAGGCUUGACUAU